GUAGGACAUGGGGCCGGCCUGGGGAGAGGCGGUGAUGCGGCCGGAGCUGGGGCGGUGGGAGGAUGAGCCACCUGCUCAGUCAGGCUACCUGUGCCUUCAGGACCUUCUCAAGCCCAGUCGCGUACACGCCACCUCCCUGAUGAUUAACUGCUGCUGGGCACACCCAGCCUAUGGCUGGACGGCUCAGGCCACACUCAGCUCGAGAUGCCGAGCUCAGGUUCACAGUUACUUGGUGUCUCCUGUGGCUAGCAUUCAGCCUGGGAGCUGUUUCUCAAAUGGAGCACAGUUACUUGCUGAUGAGAGCGUUGCUUUGCUCUGCAUACUGGGCAUCUGUGCUGUGUUUCCUUCCUUGGGGCUGGCCUGGGGCCCUCUGUCACCUCUGGGCUGGCAUAGACACCUGGAGCACCCCUGGCUCUGCUGGGCCGUCAGGGCCUGUCGGCAGAGCUCCCUGCACUGAGGCCUGAAUCAGCCUUUUGCUCUGUCCACAAAACCGAGGGCCUCUGGGUGUGGCGAUUCAGUAAUGGGACAGAGCAGCCCACCGAAAUGUCAUGUCUGGUUGCCACCAAAAUCCACAGGGACUCGCCAUGCUUGGUGCCUCUUUCUCAGUGUGGGGGUGCAAAGUUCCUUUUGGAGGGGAUACGCCAACCAGUCCCAGGAGCUUCACUCAGGCAGGAGGGGUCUACCGUAACGUCAGGCACGCAUUUUGGACUCACCAGAGAAGGUAGGAUUCUUUGGAAAAGACAACAAUACUGGGAAAAGUAGAAGGCGGCAGGAGAAGAGGAAGACCAAAUGCGAGAUGGCAUGACUCCAUAAAGGAGGGCGUGGGCCUGAGUCUACGGGAGCUGAGUGGGGCUGCCAAGGACAGGACACGGUGGACGUCACUGACUUGCAAGGUUGCCAGGAGUCAGAGCUGAGUUGACAGCACAUAACAACAACUGGUACACACGUGUCUUCCUAAACCAUCUAGAUGAUUCCUGACACUGCCUGCUCUCCAGGUCCCAUCAGUGUGGUGUCAUCAAUGUCACGGUCUAGCCUCUGAUCUUCUGGAACAAUGAGACCUUCAAGUGCCUGUGGACUAAAUUAUGACAAGGAGCCAGAGAGCAGCCCUGACAGGUAACAGACCACCUCUGGUGCUCUCUGCGCGUUAGGAUGGAGAAGGGCCUUCCCAGAUCCAUCACUGCCCACAGGCGCUGCAGCUGGAGACGUUCGCUGCAGAAAAGACCACAGUGAGAAGAGCUCGCUGAUGCUGUUAACAUGUCUUGAGCCUGUCAUGUCCUUUCCUCAAACUCUCUGCCUAAUUAGGGGCAGCCGGCCCCCACGGCUCACACCCUUCAAAAUGGUUUGCCCCAGCAGCCCCUUGGCGGCCAGCCCUGGGCUCACGGGCCCUCGCCUCAGGUGAGCACAGGCUGUCACCUGAGGGGUUGCUUCUCCUCCGUGGGCCUCCGUCUCCUAGUGCCAGGCGGCCCGUGCUGCCUGUGACCCGAACAGUGAGGACACCCAGUCCCAGAUCCCUCCCUUCCUGAGGCUCUAUCGCCUGCAGCUAUUUCUGCUGCAGAAAGUACUGUCUUGGUGACUGCAGACAGGCCGAGCCCCUGUAGCGAGCGUGCGAGGUUUCCAGUUUCUCAGAGAGCAGAGCCGGGCUCGAUGCCCCCAACCGGGAGUAGUGCAAUGGGGAGACACUCGGGGGUGCAGAGGAAACCCUCCACGGCCCUGCUAGUCACCCCCAUUUGCAGUGUAGGCACGGGGUCUAGCACCAGCCUGCGGCUGUCCCAUGUGACGAACCCCCGAGGCCCCAGACCCAUGGCCCAGCCCGCGGCCGCCCCUUGUGUUCCUCCUUCUGCCUUUCCAGCCUCUGUCAGUGGGGAGCUGAGCUGCAGCUGAAGACGGAGCGACACAGAAGGCGCCCUGUGCCUCGAGGCAGGCGAGACGGCUGUGGAAGGUUCGAGGGCACCAGCCGUUCUAGUUGGGGAUGAUGGAGAAGGAGAAUUUGAAGCGGACGUUGGGAGCUGAUGUUAGACAUGUGGUAGUGGAGGGAAGCAGAGGACUUCCAGACAGAGGGCGCAGCCCCACAAAGGCCUGGAAAGGACGUUGGGGGUGUGCACUGGUGAGGGCUGGGCGCUUGGGGUCUCUCCGUGGCAGGGAGCACCCAGGGACCCCAGCCUGCCCAGAGCCCGGGCCUCCUCACCCUUCUGUCUGCUGCAGUCCUCAUGCCCUUCUCCUGGGACUGGUCACGAUCUCCUCCAUCAUGGGCCUUUCAACCAUGCUGAGCGUGAGGACUCAAGAAAUGUGUCACCAGCCUUGGAGCACAUGGCACGUGUCAGAGAGUGUGAAUUCCCUUCCAGGCCCGGGGCCCUCAUCCCCUGCUGCUGCUUCUCCAGGCUCGCCAUUCCUGGUCCCGCUCCCACGUGUUCCCUGUGCUCCUCUCACGGCACCAGGGGCCUCUACUCAGACAAGGAGCCACUUGCCUCCUCCUAGCUGCCUGGGGCGCUCUAUCCCCCCAAUUUUCUCAUUUAAUCCUCAAAGUAGCUCUAUGUCCAUUGUACAGAUGCAGAAACUGAGACUGGAGUAUCUACUCCAGGGUGGAGGCUGGACUCGCAUGCAGGCGGCAUAGCCCCAUGACCUCCAUUCAAACUACUGCAUCGGAACUUUUCUUUCCGCGUGCAGGUGAAACCUCCAAUUACAGAAGCUCUUGCUUUCUGGUCCCUCCCGGCUUUACGCCACUGACAGCUGCGGACCUUCCUGGUUCCUGCCGUGCCCCACCCAGCCCGGGCCUCACUGCUGCGCGAGCCCUGGAAAGCGUGCUCCCCCCGCCCCCCGAGAAGCUCUGUGCGUGGGCGCAGAAACCCGGCAGGGCUGGUCGAGUGGCUUCGCGCCGUGUCUCCAAGAUCAGUUAGAUGCAAAGCCCUGAUGUGCCACCUGGAGGGGGCCGGGCAUUUCUUAGCUGCUGGCCUGAAGUCGGCUCAGCCUUUCGUUCAUCUCAUGUUCUCUCCAGUCCUAGGAGACGCAGAAGGCAGGGACGCUAUCCCGACUUACACAGGGGAACCCCAGCCCAGAGAGCCCUGGGUCUUCACCAAAUCACACAGCUGCUCCCAGGUGAUGCCAACGUGUGGCCACGGAGAUGGGCAGGGCCAUGCCCACGCAAGGAGAGAGGUUUUACCCCGAAUCACCCACUCGUGAUGAUUUAAGAACAAGUCGUGUGUGCGGAGGACGUCUCGGAAAGGACCAGGGAUGAUCGGGGCCGGGACCACUUUGCAACCCUGAGUUCCCCUGGGGACACCCGGCUCCGUCUAACCAGCUCACAAGCAGCCAAGCAAGAUGAGACUCAUAAGUACUCCGGGCUUUGAUGGAGACAAAAGAACCGGCCUAUUUACAUGAGAAACAACCAAGAAAGAAACAGGAGAAGAGAAGCGUCCGGACUGGGCCUGCUAAGUCUGCUUUUGCUCCCACGUCGGCCUGGGGAGACAUCACUUCUGGAGCGCCUCUCCUUUCAGAGUUCUGUUGCUGCAUUUCAGCAGGAAUGUUCUGGAUGAGGAGCUGGGCUGGAGCCUGGAAAAGCACAGGGAGCCACUCCCAGGUAUGCACCCUGGAGAAAUGAAAACACGUGUCUGCACAAAGACCUGUACUGAGCAUUCAUAGCAGCUUUAUUUGUAAUAACUAAAAAAGUGGAAACAACUCAAAUGUCCACCAACUGAUGAACGGAUAAAUAGAUGUGAUAUAUCCACACAAUGGAAUAUUAUUCAGCCAUAAAAAGGAAUGAAGUACAGAUUCGUGCUACAACGUGAAUGAAGCUGGAAAACAUUAUGCCAAGCGAAAGAAGCCCAACACAAAAGGCCCCAGAUUGUAUGACUCCGUUUGUAUGAAGUGUCCAGAAUAGGCGAAUCUGUAGAGACAGAGAGUGGACCAGUGGUUGCCUAGGGCCGGGGGAGGGGGAGUGAGGAGUGACCACUAACG
rnacentral:lncRNA from 1 species